GGAAAGGCACCCAAGGGAGCUGGGGUGUUUGGGAACAGAGGCUGCAGGCACAGGGCAGCCUCUCCCACCAAAAAAAGAUUGGUUGUUGAGCCUCGGCGGCUGCUGUCUCGGGGCAGCCUCUCCCACCCACUAGCAACACCUCCUGGUGCCUGCUUGUGUCUUUGACUUAAAGUGAGGGUGCUCCUGUGCCCCCCACCCACUGACCUGAGGGUGCUGGGUCCCAUUGAGUCGCCCAGUUCCUCCACCUGGGACUUGCCAUGAGCCGGGUGCCUGUGGGGAGAGGGUGGCAGCGGGAGCCUCAUCACUAGUGGUUUCGUGACAAGAAGCUGAGAAGUCCCUGGGCAGUAACUAUUUUUGCAUGAAAUGGUAUUUAUCGCUUUCCUGCUGCUGCUUUUCUUGGGCAGCUCAGCUGUAAAUCAGAGCAGGCUCAGACUCUGUGGCCGGCCUGCGUAAGGAGGAGGCUUGCCACGGGAGCAGAAGGAAAGGGCUAGUCAGGCAAAAGGAUGCGUGUUUACUGGAGACUUCCUUUGCAGACAUUGUCUAUACAGAGACGAUGCUGUCUGGACUCUGAUCAAAUAACUCUGGAGACAGAUGAGCCUUCUGGUCUUUUUUUUACAGUAGUUGAAGCUUCCUCUGUUUUUUCACUAGGAUUCCUGACUCCAGGAAGUGGGCAGGGAAGCUGUCUUCCUUGCAGGUCCUUCAACCAUGGUGCAACGAGUCCAUAAAUGCCUAUCUGGUGCUGGCUGAAGGCUGUGACACCCCUGGCUGAGCUCAAGCGGCAGCCCCAAGCGCCCGCGCAGGGCGGGGAGCAGAGCCGGGCUUGCCUCUUGCCCCCAGUGCUGUGCACCACCCAGCUCACUGUUGUGCCAAAUGGAAAACCCAGCUCCAGCCUGCGCCCUGCCCUGGGAAUAAGUGACCUCAGGUAGCUUCCAUUAGUGGGUCUCUCCCUCUUUGUCUCUUACUGCCUUAUAAACAUGCAUUAUGCACAACCUAUUAAAGCUGGAGCAGUACUUAGCGUGCAGCUUACUACUU
rnacentral:lncRNA from 1 species